rnacentral:rRNA from 1 species
AGUGAACGCUGGCGGUAGGCCUAACACAUGCAAGUCGAACGGCAGCACAGUAAGAGCUUGCUCUUCCGGGUGGCGAGUGGCGGACGGGUGAGGAAUACAUCGGAAUCUACUUUUUCGUGGGGGAUAACGUAGGGAAACUUACUCUAAUACCGCAUACGACGUACGGGUGAAAGCAGGGGAUCUUCGGACCUUGCGCGAUUGAAUGAGCCGAUGACGGAUUAGCUAGUUGGCGGGGUAAAGGCCCAGCCAGGCGACGAUCCGUAGCUGGUGUGAGAGGAUGAUCAGCCACACUGGAACUGGGACACGGUCCAGACUCCUACGGGAGGGAGCAGUGGGGAAUAGUGGACAAUGGGCGCAAGCCUGACCCAGCCAUACCGCGUGGGUGAAGAAGGCCCUCGGGUCGUAAAGACCUUUUGUUGGGAAAGAAAAGCAGCAGGUUGAUACCCCGCUGGUGUGACGGUACCGAAUGAAGAAGCACCGGCUAACUACGUG